rnacentral:rRNA from 1 species
CUACGGGGGGCUGCAGGCGCGAAACCUCUACAAUGCACGCAAGUGUGAUAGGGAAACCCCUCGUGCUUAUCGAAAGAUAGGCUUUUGUUAUGUGUAAUGAGCAUAUCGAAUAAGUGAUGGGCAAGACUGGUGCCAGCAGCCGCGGUAAUACCAGCGUCACAAGGGGAGAUCGCUUUUAUUGGGUCUAAAGUGUCCGUAGCUGGUUUGAUCAGUUCUUUGUGAAAUUUCUUUGGCUUAACCAAGAAAUUGCAAGGAAUACUGUCAAACUUGAGACCGGGAGAGGUAAGAAGUAUUGUUUGGGUAGCGGUAAAAUGUUAUAAUCCUUACAAGACUAACUAAGGCGAAGGCAUCUUACUAGAACGGAUCUGACAGUGAGGGACGAAAGCUAGGGUAGCGAACCGGAUUAGAUACCCCAGUAGUC